rnacentral:lncRNA from 1 species
AUGGGUCCUAAACGAUAUGAUACGCAGGAACAAAGGUGCUCCUUCAGCAUAGGUAUGCUAUCAGUUGUCUAUAUUAGUUGUCAGUUGAUUAACAGAAAGGAGCUGUUGCAGUCGACUUCAGGCAUGUUAAGGGCUCGUUUGGCAGGCUUUUGCUUCAGCUUUUUGUGGAAGAGCUUCAUGAUGAGGCCAUGCUGAGUAGCUUCCUUUAGAAGUUCUUCUAACCAAACAAAACACUUCCUGAAAAUUAUCCAUUCAUAACAGCUUUUGGUUCUUCGAAAGCCUUGCCUUAAUGGUCCCCCAAUCCAUGUGUAGAGUUUUUUUCUCUUAACAAUGACAUUUUUUAAUGUUUCUGCUUACUAACAAUGUAAGAUAGAGACAUCUCUGUUCAUUGAAGACAAGGAAAUAAUUAUGGAAAUUAGUAAUGGAAGAUAGAGACGUCUGAAGAAUCCCUUUCAGUCCCUUCCAAAUUCCAAAUAGUGGAAGUCAGUAAUAAUUAUAAUUAGUUUAUCAGUUCUCAAGUGUCAAAUUGAAGAUGCAUUUUCCUUAAAACUUUGCCAAACGUUGACACAACACAUCGUGGAACUGAUGGAGUUUUGAUAAAUUGCUCUACUAUAUAUAUAUAUAUAUAUGUGUGUGUGUGUGUAUAUAUAUAUAUGUGUGUGUGUGUGUGUGUGUCUAUAUAUAUAUAUAUAUAUAUAUAUAUAUAUAUAUAUAUUGUUUGUUCUGAUUGUGAUUUUAGUAUGCAGCGGAAAUAAGGAUAGAUUCUAUCAAGACCGGAUCAGUUCAGUAAUAAGAACAGAACAAAGUAUAUUUUGAGAGAAACUUUUUUUUUUAUAUGAAUUAUUUGAUUUGAGUACAUGACAAACCUAUUUAUAGGAUAGCAUAAGGCUACUAAGAGUCACACAAUUACGAAGACUAAUAAUGAUGGUGAAUGCAUCCAUCUCUUCAUCUUCCUCUCCAACACUCUUCAUAUUUCAUCAUGUGGAGAAAACCAAAAGUCUUUAAUAAUCAACAUUCUCCUCCUUGAAGCUUUUGGGUAAAACUCCAAUCUUCAAUCUUAAGUCUUCAAACCUGGAUUUGGGCAAUGCUUUAGUGAACAUAUCUGCAAUUUGAGAUUCACCUGGACAAUAUUGGAGAUGAACUUCUCCUUCUUUCUCAGCUUGUCUGAUAGCAUGGAACUUCACUUUAAUAUGCUUGGUUCUUCCAUGAUCAAUUGCAUUCUUUGCAACAGCAAUGGCUGAUUGAUUAUCCACCAUGAUAGUUGUAGGAUCAUCUUGACUUUUCGCAANCUUUUGGUUCUUCGAAAGCCUUGCCUUAAUGGUCCCCAAUCCAUGUGUAGAGUUUUUUUCUUAACAAUGACAUUUUUUAAUGUUUCUGCUUAUUAACAAUGAAGAUAGAGACAUCUCUGUUCAUUGAAGACAAGGAAAUAAUUAUGGAAAUUAGUAAUGGAAGAUAGAGACGUCUGAAGAAUCCUUUUCAGUCCCUUCCAAAUUCUAAAUAGUGGAAGUCAGUAAUAAUUAUAAUUAGUUUAUCAGUUCUCAAGUGUCAAAUUAAAGAUGCAUUUUCCUUUAAACUUUGCCAAACGUUGACACAACACAUCGUGGAACUGAUGGAGUUGUGAUAAAUUGCUCUACUAUAUAUAUAUAUAUAUAUAUAUAUAUAUAUUUUAAUAAAUCCCAAUAAAAGUAUUUUAUUUCAUAUCGUUUUCAAAAUAAGUUGGCUAUUCUACAUUCAAAAGAUAAUCUUUACAAACCGAAACAUUGUUCUGGGAUAUUAAAUAGCUUGGUCUGCUAUACAAAAAAUAAUUUUUAUUUUUUUAAAAUUUCUUUUAGUAAUUUUAUAUGCGAGUUUGUUAUGAUCUGUAAAUGAAACAGGCUAGUUACAUAAAAGAAGCAUAUUUUCCGGAUUGUUUAUUCUAAUGUUGUGCCAAAUGGCAUCUAUUGUUAACCUUUAUUUUGUGCUAUUUAUUUCAAGAUCAUAUGAGGCAGAACUGAAUUAUCAGAAAAGAAAAACUCAAGUCCAGAGGGAGAGUCCUCAGAUAUUGCUUCUAGAGCAUUUCGGUGCCUCCCUAGAAAGUGUGAUCGGGUGAGUUGCUGUGGUUCACACAUUGGCUGCGGGUGUGACAAUGGAUUAAGUGCAACAUUUUCUCAAUAUGCUUGGCUCGUAUUCAGCUUACAAGGAGAGGUGGGAUCCACCUGAAUUUCAACUUUCUUGAACACCAUAAAGUACGUUCAUCUGCAAUCCCAUAUUCCUGUUUUUCAUAGCUUCUGGUACUUGUACCAUUCUGACGUUUUCCGUGUCUUUGAACGAACAGACUCCUCCUUUAGGAGGCCGUAUGAAAUGUGGAUGGCGAGCUUUUUCUAGCCCACCGACUCCCUGCUCAAUUAUUUCGAGGCCUUGUUAGCUCGUUUGAACGAGGCCUCGAAGCAUAGCCACUUCUCAGAAAUGUGCACACCAGUACCCAUUUCCAUAUUCGCAUGACUUGUGUCCACUAGAAUUCUAAUGAACACUUCUGCUAUAUGGUCGUCAAGUAAUUAAUUUCUUAAGGAUUGAUACUAUGUUAUAGUAGUGAUGAAUCCUCUUUUGUGCGAUGGCCUCUCAUCCUAGCCUAUGGCUGAAUUUCACAUGUGAUGGUGCUGUUGCUGAGCUUAGCUAAGAAUGCAGCCUAUAUUGGCAUAAUGAGACAAGAUUGGAAAAGCAAUAUGCUUCCUGGAAGAGGAACGAAAAUUGUGGCUGGACCAGAAGUCAUGUCAAACACAGUAAAAUUUUCUUCCAUUCUCCGAAAACCUCUGAUGUUCGGACUCUUUGAAAUGGUUCUAGUACCUGUGUUGGACACGACACGACAUGGGUGUGGGUAUGGGUAUGAGUAUGGG